GGAGAGGUGGCUCAGUGGUUAAGAGCACUGGCUACCCUUCCAGAGGAACUGGGUCCAAUUCCCAGCACCUACA
rfam:Mesocricetus auratus contig006399, whole genome shotgun sequence.